rnacentral:rRNA from 1 species
CGCAUAUUUGCUGGAAUGCUUUAUGCGUCAAAAGGAUUCGUCUGCCCAAGGAUGGGUCUGCGGCCUAUCAGGUAGUAGUGGGUGUAAUGUACCUACUAGCCAGCGACGGGUACGGGUUGUGAGAGCAAGAGCCCGGAGAUGGAUUCUGAGACAUGAAUCCAGGCCCUACGGGGCGCAGCAGGCGCGAAAACUUUACAAUGCGGGAAACCGUGAUAAGGGGACACCGAGUGCCAGCAUCAUAUGCUGGCUGUCCGGAUGUGUAAAAUACAUCCGUUAGCAAGGGCCGGGCAAGACCGGUGCCAGCCGCCGCGGUAACACCGGCGGCCCGAGUGGUGAUCGUGAUUAUUGGGUCUAAAGGGUCCGUAGCCGGUUUGGUCAGUCCUCCGGGAAAUCUGAUAGCUCAACUAUUAGGCUUUCGGGGGAUACUGCCAGACUUGGAACCGGGAGAGGUAAGAGGUACUACAGGGGUAGGAGUGAAAUCUUGUAAUCCCUGUGGGACCACCUGUGGCGAAGGCGUCUUACCAGAACGGGUUCGACGGUGAGGGACGAAAGCUGGGGGCACGAACCGGAUUAGAUACCCGGGUAGUCCCAGCCGUAAACGAUGCUCGCUAGGUGUCAGGCAUGGCGCGACCGUGUCUGGUGCCGCAGGGAAGCCGUGAAGCGAGCCACCUGGGAAGUACGGCCGCAAGGCUGAAACUUAAAGGAAUUGGCGGGGGAGCACAACAACGGGUGGAGCCUGCGGUUUAAUUGGACUCAACGCCGGACAACUCACCGGGGGCGACAGCAAUAUGUAGGCCAAGCUGAAGACUUUGCCUGAAUCGCUGAGAGGAGGUGCAUGGCCGUCGCCAGUUCGUACUGUGAAGCAUCCUGUUAAGUCAGGCAACGAGCGAGACCCGUGCCCACUGUUACCAGCAUGUCCUCCGGGACGAUGGGUACUCUGUGGGGACC